UCUUGCUGCUCUGUGGAUUUACAACUGCCGGGACUGUGCGAAGAACUGAAUGACUGCCUGUGGCUGGCAGCCGUCCUCAGCCUCCGAGAUUCCUCACCUUAAUGCAAGCCUAGUGUUUCAGUGGGGCCGUGGCACGUUUUGCAGAUUUUGGAUGGAAUUUUCCUCUUUAGCAGUUUGUCUUUUAACUACUUCCCGCUAGGCUUUCCCGCAACUAUUCUGCUCUGCCCUCACUAUUCCAUUCCUUCUGGGGAAAAGACAGGACAAAAUGGCCCUGGGGGGUUGAGGGUUUUGGUUUUCCAGAUCUGUGGGUGCAUGUAGCAACAUAUGUGAAUGUGUAGGGAUGUUUUAAGUGCCAGGUCACUUGGAGGAAACUAGGAAGGUGGACUUGGCAAAGGGGCACAUCCCAGAUGUCUCCGUGUGAUAUGAAAUCACCCCGAACAGACAGAAGGUGAAAGUCGCUGAAAGGCACAUUUGCAAAGACACAGGCUCUCGCUCAAUGCAAACUGAAAUGCUGAGUUCAUUUGCCCUCCGUUCACACUGACCUUGAGGCUUUGUUGUUGCCUUCCUUUGAUGUCACCCUUCUCUGGGGCUCUCCAGUGAUGUCUCCAUCUGGAAAAGGGUUUCUGACAAGUGCAAGGUCAUUCAUCCCAUAAGUAGGUCUCAGGUGAUUAAAAAGUCAACAGUCAAUAAAAAGUAGACAGCCAAGUCCAUGCUUGCGGAUAAAUAAUAAACACACACGGGAGUCCCUGCUGCCUGAGGGAAUGGAUCACUUAGAGAACACACCUCAGAGGCAUCUGGCUCAUGUAUGUUACGGGACACUGAGUGAUGGAAAACCAGAUGCUCGUUCUGUUUAAUUCUUUGCAAGUCUAGAGAGUUUCAGGAAACUGACACUCAGGUCUUCAGGAUCGUGAAUCAUUCUUAGAGGUUCAUGUGGCUUAAGUGUAGACAGCUUACCUCAGUUACCCACUAGGCUUUGAAUAGCUCCUGUGAUGACUCACACACUUCCAGUCUCUCUCUUCUUCCCAGGAAGGUGUGUGUGUGUGUGUGAGAGAGAGACUGGAAGGAGGGGUCUGUGAGUGUAGCAGUCUGGGAUGGGUAGGGAGAAAGGGAAGGAAGAGGUUGAUAGGCAUGUUGAUGGUCUGUACUCAUUGUAGAUUCGGUGACAAAUAGCUUUUCAACAACUAGUGACAGAGAGUGAGACGUGCUUUCUACUCUUUGAAUGGGCAAAUUCCCACUUUCUGUUUCCAGCCAACGCUUUGAGUGAGUUCAUUUAUUUUUCUGGCAAUAAAGCAAUUCUAUCCCAUUCUCUGUUUCUGUGCAGAUGAAUGAGUUCAUUUGGUGAGUGCUUUUCGAAUAGCAGACCUGUUUUACCUUCAGAAUAUCUGGCAGAAGGCAAAUGUGUCACAUCGACAUCACCCAGCGAUGGCUUGUCACUACUCUUUACUUUGCUACUACUGAUCCACAUUUUAAAAAAUGGAUAAGUGGGUCUCAGUUAUUAUGCCCAAGAGGACCUUUUUUUUGCUUUUAUAAUCCAUUUGUGCCAUUUCCUUUUAUCCAGUUCACUAGGUGAUGGCCGAGCCCCCAAGUGUCUUGGGUUAUGUGCCAGGUUGAAUUGCCACAUUUGAUGUGACAUGCUCCAGGAUUUCCAUGCACAGUGCAUGGAAACUGGAUCUUUCUAUGACUGUGAUGUUUACAAUUAAAUGACAAAAAAUGAGAAAGAAAAAAAAUAAUUUGAUCCCAAGUUGCCCUUCGAUACUUAUAUAUGUUCACACAAAGAAUUAAGGGUAUUGGACAACUAUGAUGGAAACUGAUUUCAACUCACUGGAAGGCAUUCUAUUACUCAAAUGAUCAGAUUUUACAAAUGUGUUUUAAUUCUAUCUUAAUAAUUUGAAAGGGGAAGGUUCUACAUGGCAACUCUUAAUGUAUAGUAAUGUAUAUAACUUUGGAUAGAAGGUGGUUUUAUAAAUUGUGUUUUAUUAUUAGAGUCUAGGUUUCAUAAGUUCUGGUUUAUAGCACUCUGUGACAAUGUAAAUUAUUUGUCUGACAUAAACUUUCAUGCACAAAUUUAUUCUUGUUAAUUUUCUAGUCAACUGGACUAGCCUUUUUGCCCAAGAGAACUUGACCCCUUUAAAUCGUUUAAUUCAGAACAUUGAUGGAACCUCUGCUAUGUGUAAGACACUGUACAGGCAUGAGUGAGAUACCUAGAAAUGAAUGAGAGAUUAACUUUGCCUUCAAGGAACUCACAGAAAAUAAUCAUGGAAGAAAAAUGCAAUCCUUUAUGCUUUUCCUAAAUACUUUUCCCAUUUUUAAAAUCAGGUGACCAAGAUCUACCCUCUCAAUGGGCUUCUUGAUACCAAAGGCCAGAUUGUUUACCAUUGAAUCCCAGUAUCUAGCUCAAUGCCUGGCUGAUAUAGCUGCGGCUCAAGUUUGACUGUUGAACUGGCAGGACUGAAUUGAAUUGAAUCCCAUUGAAUGUAAUGGCAUGACUUGUUAGGGAUCUUAGUCUUUAGAAUCAUCAAGAAUUAAGUUUGUCAGGUACUUUGGACAAUUCUUCCUGCCUCAUAUUUACCCAGCUAUUCGAUAAAACUUUCUCUCUUUUCAACUGAAUACAAUGUAUACCAACAAUGACUUAGACGAGACAUUUAGAUCCUCCCUAAGCUACAUUGAUGGUCUGUUUCAUGUCUGAGCCAAUUAUUCUUAAAAGCAUUAACUGUUGUCAACAAAUUUUAUUGAGUUUCCUUUUUGUCCCUUGAGAUUUACUGUGUGUGAAGAAGUCAGCUCUAAGCAUUUACAGCCUUUGAAAUACUUUUUAGAGGAAAGCAGUCUUCCCUACCUCUACCCCCUGUCAAUUGACUCUUAUUAUUGUUUUUACCCCUUUCAAAGUUUUGUUGUGGCUGCGUGCUUCAUUUUAAGCUGCUUCAAAUCCAUUUUGAAUGUAUGGAUUUUUUCUAACUGUGGAAGGGGGUUUCUGAUCUUAGUUUGAAAUGCAAACAUCUAAAAAAAUGUUACCUCCAAAACUAUCUUUUUUACUGGGCCAGAAUAUUUAACAAGGGGAAUUUUUAACCCUAUUAAGAGACAGAACUGUCCUGAAUAACUUUUUUUGGGGGGGUAACACUUAUUUUGUAUCAAUCAACCCAAUGUUCUAAAUGAGUUCCUAUUUCUCUACAAGCCUAAGCUCCACUAGAGCACAGAACAUGCCACCUUCUCCGUUAUCUGUUUUGUAAACAUCUUCCCAGCAUAAGUGCAAAAGUUCCUCUAUAAUUAACACAGCUUCACCAGACAUUACAUGCAAUGAAAAUUGCAAAGAAGAGCUAAGUACUGAUUCUUCCCUAUAUAUCAUAGUAAGAGAGCAUGUCAACCAGUCUUGUACUUUCAUAGUCUUGGGAGGAAAAUGGUGGCCUAAUGGAGUUGGCACAUUGGGAAAGAGCUAGCUAUUAUCUUUCCAGAUUGAUGGAAGAGGCUCAUAGAGAGCAGUUUGUCACAACCUUGCUAUGCAUGGACCAGAGCAAGAGGAAAAGAGCUUCAAGUAAAACAGGAAAAGUUCAGCUUGCCAUAGAUACUAUUUUUGACAGUCAUGGUGAUUAACCAUUUUAACAUACGCUUUAGAGGCUUGUGGAAUUUCUCUCCUUGAAGAUACUUUAAAAAUUGACAGACAACCAACCACCUUGAAUGGUUUCAAUUAAGAGCAACUAAAAGAAAGCGAGUUUCUGGGGUCCUUUUUAGUUUUAAGAGUCUAUAAACAGUCCCUUAAAUAAACUGUAUAUGCUUUAUCUCUGCGGUCUGGGAAAAAGGAGAAGUAAAUCAAUUAGAAAGGAAAGUUGGAUACCCUUUUGGUUAGUCCAGAUUUAUAGCUUUUGUAAAAUAUACUUCCAAUGCAUACUUUUUAAGAACAGGUCUGAAUAAAUGAAUGGCAUUCUUCAUGUGUUAAACCAUACUGUUUUAUAAAGAGUUUAAGUAAAACUUUGCAAUGAGUUUCAUUGUUAUUGAUUGCAGCAACCUUCCUAGAUUGAGGUUAUUAUUAUUAACUCAAGCUUCUUUCAUUUGAAAUAUAGUGCUCAGAAAACUGCUCCCAGACCUGUCAUUCAUUAGCUGUAUGACUUUGGCAGGCAUUUAAACUUCCUGGGCCAAAAUGUCCUUGUCUAUAAAACAAGGGGAUUUUGUUCAAGUAAAUGACCUCUUCUAACUUUUAACAGACUCAUAGUCUAGGUUGUAAUUAACAAGGAUUUGGUACUAUUCAAGAAAGGAGAAUCUUGGAUUCAAAUAGUGACCAAAGAACAUUUUAGACUCCUUUAUCUUCUUCACAUAGUUUCUGUUCAUCUCCAGAUAGGGGACCCCACCUACUUAAAGCAAGAGAAGCCAGUGCCUUUGUUUUAUUUUGUUUUAAGCUGAGUUCCAACCCCUCAGGGAUGGAAUAGAAGCUCAGACAUGACCAAAUACAUGCAAGUCAUCUGGCCAAAGAAGCACACACCUCGUGAAAACAGAUUGCCAUUUUUCUUUGCUAGGAAGGACUAACUGACAGUUCUCAUCUUCACAUUUUUUCAGUCUCCUGAAAGUAAGGACAGUUAAGUAGGUCAGUUUUUAACUGCUCUUUAUAAAUUAGAGGUGCAGAUUGAAUCUAUAGUCUUCUAAACCUUGACUAAAAGCCUUUUCCCGGGCUUUUAAGACUGCCUAUCCAAUUAAAGAAGAGAGGACAGCACUGGGAACACCCAAAGACACACCCAGCCACCACUAGCGUUGAGUGGGGCAUUAGCAUUAGCUUUGAGUGGGGCUGGAUUUGAGCUACACCAUUUGCAUUCCUUGGUUUGGCACCCCUUAGACCUCCAGCUAUGCACUUGUGUGACAGCUGGUCAAAGUUAGAGGUACAGUCACUGGCUGUGACUUUCUCUUUGAAGCUAAUUGGAACAUGUGGGAUUUGACCUUGGCCCUGGGCUUCCCUGGUGGCGCAGAGGUUAAAGCGUUUGCCUGCAAUGUGGGAGACCUUGGUUUGAUCCCCGGGUCGGAACGGGAAGAUCCCCUGGAGAAGGAAAUGGCAACCCACUCCAGUAUUCUUGCCUGGAGAAUCCCAUGGACGGAGGAGCUUGGUGGGCUACAGUCCACCGGGUCACAAAGAGUCGGACACGACUGAGCGACUUCACUUUCACUUUCACUGGUCUCAUUAGCACCACUAAGCUAACAGGCCACAAAUAUUCUUAAAGAGAAACAGUGAGUUUUCAUAUUGACCUUCACUAGUGGCUACUACUCUUUAAAUAUGCCCAAGAGGACUAGUCUGGGCAACCAAGGGACUUCUAAGAAAGUGAUGAUUUCUGUGCAAAUUUAGAAAAUAUUGCAAUAUUGCAAAUGCAAUAAUUUGCAUUUUUCUGAUAUGGUCAAGCACCUCAAGACCAUCUUCUCCCUGAUGAACAGUUACAAGAAGCAAGAGAGGGAAGGAGUCAAGGCCAAGUGUGGUCUCUACUGUCAAGAAUCCAGGAUGUGAAUUCUAGCUCUGUAACUUACUUGGUGGGUGGCAUCGAGCAAGUCACUUAACCUCUUUGUUCUUCAAUUUCCUCAUCUCCAAAACAAGGACUACCUCACAGAACUGGUUAAUCUAUUAGAACAUAUUAAAUUAGAAUACUGCCUGGCACAUGGUAAGCAUCAUAAACACAUUAGCAAUUAUACUUAUUUAUUCUCUUCUGGGAUCAGUCACAGAGUCUACUGCAAAUGUCUGGGCAGCCCAGUUCAUUACACACUCAUUUCCCUUGAUGUGUGCUAAGUUGCUUCAGUCAUGUCCAAUUCUGUGAAAUCCUAUAGACUGUAGCCUGCCAGACUCCUCUGUCCAUGGGAUUCUCCAGACAAUAAUACUGGGAUGCAUUGUCAUUUCCUCCUCCAGGGGAUCUUCCCAACCCAGGGAUCAAACCCGGGUCUCCUGCAUUGCAGGCAGAUUCUUUACCAUCUGAGCCACCAGAGAAACCUAUUUCUCUCUAUAGGGGCAGCUGAUAAAGCCUGUUGUUAAUAGUAACACUUACAGUAGUAUCAGUAGCACGAAGGAUGUCUUAUGCUUGAUUAGUAUUUGCAUUUUUUCAAAAUCCAAUUGUAGCAGCUCUCUCACUUUGUCUUUACCCCAGUCUUAGAAGGUAAAAAUCAUUGCUUCACUGGACAAGUGAGAAAUGUGAGACAUAGAGAGUUUGUGGUUUACCUUACUGGGUGGAUCCAGAACCAAAGUCAAGGUCUCCUGUGUCCAAGAAGCACGUACAUCUGCCCAUUCACAUUGUUUAAAGGUCCAAAGUGUUGCAGUGUAGAGAUAUGCUUCCAAAAAGCCUUGGCAUCUUCUGGGAGAGCAGGAACAGAAACCCCUGGGGGCGCAGUUGAUUUUGAACUUCUUUGAAAGGAGACUCAAAGGAGACAUCCAUGGAAUGACCCUACAGUUCACCUUCUAGAAAAACUUAGGAAAUACUUAUAGAAUUUCUUCAGGCUGCACAAGAGAAGUUUCUUUGAUUAGAGGCUGCUGCCAUUUGAGCCCCUUGCCUUCACAGACUGGACUCCACUCAGAUGGCACACUGCAGCUCCCCAUUGAGCACAUGGAUAUGCCUUAUGAUCCGGGGGACUCCUUCCUCUGGCCAACUUCAACUUUUCUUCUUUCUUGGCCACCAAACCUCCAGUGCUUCUUUCCUCGUGGCUAUGAGUUCUGCUGUUUUUCCUCAAAGACCUACUGAAGAAGAACUGUUUGUUGGACCAGGCAUCUCUCUCUGGAUUUGAUAGGAGAGGUGGUAAAGGAGAAGUGGUCAUAAGGCAACAUAAGCCUGAGAGUGAGCCAGGCAGAAGUGUCUUCCCCAACUUGACCAUGAAAGGAGCUGCGGAAGGUUUGGAUGGGAGGCUUGCACCAGUGCAGGUGCCUCUCAACCAGUUGCUUGAAGACCAUCAGUAUUGGAAGGUCUCACAAGUUCCUGGCUGGUAGGCUCAUAGCUCCAUUUUGGAUCCAGAAGAGUGUUGGUGUUUUCCAAACAGCUGGGUCUCUGUAUACUUAGUCCAGACAUCAUGGACCAUGCCAGUAUUUCUCAAGGCCUCUGUAAAGAGCCAACCUCAAGCCUCUAGCUGACUUCUUCUGAUUUCAGAGCCUACACCAAAGAAUCAGACACUCUGCAAACAGGCAGGCAAUUUUUCCCAAGGAGAUUGCUCAUUGUUCUUCAUAAUGGGCUGCGAAACCUUUGCCCUUUUAUGCAGCCAGAGUCUUUGACAACCAUGGUGGCAAAAAAUCAUUCCUGUACCGAGCUGCUGCCCUGGCAAAGCUCCAUCCUACACCUCUCCACAUGGAACAUCAGCAAGCUCUUACAUCACAAAGAAUUACUUUUGGUUGCCUGGAAAGUUCAAGUCCCCAGGCCUUAUUAGCUGUUAGACUAAGGAGAUGACAACAGAACAUUUCACUUGUCUUUAUCUAUAUGUGAGAUCAUGUUUAAAACAUAGCAAAGAGCUGUUAUUUGACGUGUGAUUCUUUAAGUGCAGUAAGUUGUAUGCUUAUUUAAUGCAUUGUUUAGUCUCACAUUGGCUAAAGCCCCUUAAAGAAGCACUUGGCAAGCUCUGGCCUUUCAUUCUUGGCAUAGCUGCCCCUCUUACUUUUUCACUGAACCUUAAAUACCACGAAAAACCCUUCACUUACUUUACAUCUGGCAUAUUACUUUAUGCAAUUGGCCAGAACUUUUGCACAUGGCCCUCUGCAUUUGUCCAAAGGUAAUUAAUGGCUUUGCAAUAUUUGAUCAGCAGCAGCAUGGACACAAAGAGAACUUGUGCAAUCAGCAGAGACCACACAGUCUUUUAAAUGAAAAUCUUUUUUGCAUUAAAUGCUCGGGCGUUGUGCAGGGAUAAGGGUUUCCAUGCCAAAAAAAAAAAGAGAGAGAGAGAAUGGGCAUGCUGAAGUCCCUGGGAAGAUACCCAAGAACCUGAUUCUUGAUUAAGUAUAUAUCUCUGUAAUAAAACUACCAAAUUGUUCACAGAAAGUAAAAUUGAAGAUUGCUGUAAGCUUGGAAGGCCUUGAAAAAUAAUCUAGUCAAACAGGAGAAGUUAAACUCAGAGAGAAGGGACAAGUCCAAGGUCAUACCCCCGCUAAUUAGUGCAGAAGUAAGAAGGAAGAGAUACUCUUGAUUCUGUUUCCUGAUUUCAUGUUGUGUUCCACCUUUAUCUGUGAUGGACCAUGCUUAUGUCUAAGUUACCUGAUAAAUUUCAAUGACCAGGAGAUGUCUUCAAUCAGUCUCACCCAAAUGAACAUAGAUCUUGGUGAUGCUCUCAUUCCAAUAAAUUUCCUGAGAUUGAAGUUAGAGAGUUCAGAGAGUGACAGACUGUUAUUCCCUUGCUGUAGAAAUGUGUACAAACCAAAGGUAUCCCCUGCCUUUUUCCCAUACCAUGCACUUGGCCUUUCAAUGUGCCUGGGGCAUUCCAAAUCCACUUCAGGUCAUGAUUUAGAGUAUUAUUAUAUAUUAUAUUAUUCUGACUCUUUGGUCACUCUCUCCAAUGUCAACUUGGGUAGAACUGCUUUGGAAUGACUUAGCAAAGCUGUGCUCCUGGAAAAUCUGAAACAGCCUGACGAGUCAUUGGAUCAGCUUCUUUUCUGGAGAUUUCUCUGACAGCCCUAAGCCAAAAGAAAUUUACACCUGAUUUUUUUUUUUUCACAUUUCCAAGCAAAUACUCUAUGAAUCUCUUCAGAUUUUUCUUCUUACACCUGUGGUCUAGCUGAUGUACUAGAAAGGCUGUUGGAAGGGUCUUUUAAGCUUUCAGAAUGGGUUAGUCAUAGAGUCAAUUCUGUGAGUGUUUCUGAGAAGAUGGUCCUACCUCUAUGCCAUUUACCCUGAUGAAAUGGGUCUUUCAUCAGAGGCAAGUGAUGAAGAAAGUCUGUGCUGAGCCAACCUACAUGCAACCUACUCCUGAUAAUCUGUGAAACUAGGGAAAGGAGCACGAAGGGUGGGAAUUCUGGAUUCAGCUGACUUGGGACACUAUAUACAUUUCAGCCUCCUCACUCCUCCUUCCUUCCUGCCUCCAGCCCCAGCCCUUUUGUAAGACCAAGUGGCAUGUCUUAACAUUCUACUUUAUUCUCCCGCUCCCUACUCACCUCCCCCAGCAGUGCCAUGGGCAACAGGAUUUCUCAACCUCAGCACUAUUGACAUUUUAGGCCAGAUAAUUUUUUGCUAGUGGAGAGGGACUGUCCUGUGCAUUGUAAAAUGUUUAGCACCAUAUUUGAUUGACUUCUACCUUCUAGAUGCCAGAAGUCCCAUCCUCCAAAUUGUGAUAAUCAAAAAUCUGUCCAGGUGUUGCCAAAAUCCCCUGGGGAGGCGGGUGGUGCAAAAUUACACCUUGUUGAGGACUACUGGACUAGAGCUGGCUCCAGAAGAAAAGCAGCCAGAGAGAUGGGAAAGCCAUGAGUGCAAGAGACACACAAACUAAUUAUCAGUCACUGGCUAAUGGGGUCUGUGGUUCAUUGCCCAGAGUAAAGCAACAAGAAGAAUUACUGGAGUUUUGAAAGCUUCUCUCUGAAAAUAAAGCUCUCUUCCUAUAGGCUACCAAUAAAAAAAAAAAAAAAAGGUGUUUGCAAGCCCUCCUUUUCGUCUGAUAGCUAUGGAACUCGUUUAUUUUAGUAACAGCAGUAUGGGAAGGCAGAAAUGAGAAACAUUGUGUGCUUAGAAGUUUGAGUAUGACAACUUGGAGUAAAUGAAAAAAAUAAGUGGUUUUUCUUUGACUUCAGUAUUUGUGGCUGUUCCCUUUUGGUCAUAGGCUUUCAAUUCAGAGUUUAAAAGCCUGGUUCCUUUUCCCUGCUUGUAUCUUUCCUAUUUGAGUAUCAUUAUAGUCAUUUUAUUAUCUAUAAACAGACCCACCAGAAAGCAGAAACAGAUCAAUAAAGUAUUACUUUGGAAAUCAGAGGUUCCACAUUUGGGUUUCACCCAGCCCCCUUACUUAACAGCUAUAUGCUCUUGGAGAAGCCACUUAAUUUCCUUAGGUCUUAUAUUCCUCACUUUUAAAAUAAGAAUAAAAAUACUAUACCACAGAGUUCUUUUAGGGCUCAACUAUAGAGGGGCUUUGGAAACUGAAAAAGAAUCCAAAUAUGUCACUAUUAGUGGACUGAAUUGAAUAGUGGUUUGACUUUAGCCUUUAGUGACUUUGAACCAUUAGUUCAAUGGUUCUGCAAUAAUUACAGUGUAGAAAAGUUAAUUUGGUAGUGUAUCUUCUCAACCUAAUUAAUUAAAAAUAAAAGCAUGCUGGUAUCUUCUGUUCACUUAUCACUUUGAAUUUAGACCACCCAAAAGUCUAUUAAUGGAUCUUCAGAAUGCUUACUCAGUAUUACUGUUUAUAUCCUUAUUGGAGAAAGUAUUAAAAAAAAAAAAAAAAAACCAGGACCUAUCACUUUACCACACUGAGCUUGCUCAAAGAGUUAGUUUCCAGAUAGUGGUUAGGUAGUCACUGAGGUACCACACGUAAGCAAAAAGAUUUCCAUUCUCCCAAGUCAGCUACUGGUGAUUUUUGCUUAUCCUCAAAGAAGCAAUGCUCAGCAAAGGGAAUAUACUCAGUAAUCAGAAAAAUAUCUUUGUACUCGCAGUAUCUUUGUCCACCUCAACUGCUUCCUUAUCACAGUCUGACUUAGAAGAAUUGAAUUUUUUGUUUGAGCAUGGCUUUGGUGAAUUAAAACUUCUGAGUCUGAUCACCAUAUGGACCUGUGAACAUGCGGUUGUUCUAGCCCGGAGGCUUUACAUAUAGCCACUCCUAGAGACACAACAUUUGAUAAAAUAGAAACCCACAGUCAAAUACUGGUUACUGCUGCCAUGAAUUAUCCUUUCUUUUGAGUUCUUUCAAAAAAAAAAAAAGACCCAGAGACUAAGUUUUAAAAGUUUUUUUCUGUCCUUUGCAGCAUGCAGGGCACUUAAUGAAACUCCUUGACUUGAUGUUUAAAAAGGCAUUCCAAAAGCUAUCUCCUUCUACCAGUCCCCAGGGUAUACCCCAUGACUUUGCAUUUGCUACUGCCGCCAAUGUGGAUCUGAGACUGAAGGUAUAGAAGGAAAAAUCUACCUGAGGUGUCACCCAUUGGGACUCCUUAACUGUGGCCCCAGUGGAAACUUCUAGAUCAACAGUAAGCUAAUUCUAGUCAACAGGGAAUUUUUAAGAGCUACCAUAGGAUUCCGCACAAUAGAUUUCACCUAUGAGAAUGGUUUUGAGAACAGAACCUCCAUUCAAUUCCUCUUUCUUACUUCAAGUGAGGCAAGCAUACUAAAAGGAGAAGUGGCAGGCAAGGGAAGAUAUGUAACAAAUGGUAUAUUCCUGGCAAAUAAAUCCUAAGGUAGAUAUAACAACAAGAGCACCAGCCUUCAGAGAACACAAGUGCUUUCUCCUUACCAAAGUAUAACUGAAGAACUGGAGAGCUAGAAAGAACCAUAUAGAGCAAUCUGGUUCAGUGCUCUCACUUCCCGGAUGAGGGAAGCAAAAAUCCAGAAAAAACAUGAUGUGCAUGAGGUCACAAAGCAUGCUGAUGGGAAAGCCAGGACUGUAAUUCAGUCACCUCACCCUUCUGUUUAGGGCUCUUUGCAUAGCUGGAUGUUUUCAACUUAACCUUGGUAAACCCAUAUGAAGGUAGCACUAGUAACCACAGUUCAUAAACUCAAAGUGAACAGCUAUGUCAUAUUCUUCUGGUGUCACGCAUCGGAAUAGUCUUUGAAAAGUUAAGCCCUUAACCACUCCCAAGAACUUUUCCCCAAUUUCUAUCACCCAUUUGGAUAAUAUUGUCAAGUCUUUUUAUCCCAAAUCUGAUCAAUCUGACUGUAGGACUAUGGAUCUUCAUAGACUCUAGUAGUUUGAUGGUUUGCAGGCUUAAAACAAACAAAAAGGGAAAGAAUGAAUUCCCGUUUUAGAGGCCAUUUUAAAGUCACAUUAGCAAGUAGAUUGGUUGAUGCAUUUUGUGUUGCUUGUUAACUCAGAAGCUACCCAAAACAAAAGGUAUUCUUGAUGCAUUAUUUCUGUCUCUAAACAUUCCUGACUUGCUAGUCUUCCAUGAAGGCCUUCCAUGAAGAAGCUUAAAUUUUCCUACGUAUUUUGAGUUUUAUGUUUCUUUCCAUUAACGUUUCCAGCCGUUCAUAGACAUAUUUAGUUUGGCAGAAGGUAGUGGUGACUCAUGGAAUGAAGAAAUUUGAAAGCAAAGCUACUGAAAUGGAUCUAAUUUCUUUUUUUGGGUAAUUUGGGAGUGAGCAAUUGAUAAUUUGUCUAAUUUUUCCUGGUUUCAUCAGCUGCCAUACUGCCAAAUAUUUGUUCCAUAUGGAUGCUUUGUUAUUCCUGAAACAUGUCACAAAUUUCAGCUGCAACUAUAUCUAAUAUGGUCAAAGGGUAAGACUAUUGUUGGCUCAUUUUCUCAUUGUUUUUGGCUGGACACCCUCAAUCAAUGGCUAUUGAGUGAAAAAGCAGGAUCAUAUUGAAACCAUUUUCAGCAUGUUCCUUCCUAUGGAUCCAACCAUUUCACUCUGAGUUUGUCAAGCACAGCAAAUGUUCUCUAUUAAAGGGAUGGUUAUGUUUUAGGCAUAGAUGCCACUGCCAGCUAAUUUCAUUCACCUAAUAAUUCCACUCUCUCCGUUUGGUAUAGAGAUGUUUUUGGCUCUCCAAAGUGUCCUUCUCUAAGUCUUGCUUCUCACUAUAGAACAGAUAUUUGGGGAUAGAUUUUGAGAAGAUCAAUGACCUACUCCCUCUGUAGGCAUUAUUUCAAGGUUACUUUAAGAGAGACAUCCUUUCAGGGCCCUGAAACAUAUGAAUCAUAAGACUUGUAAAAGUAUUAGUGCCACAAAUCUGGCUGGCAUUUAUGCAGAUUACCAGUACUUUGCAUGCAAUUAUGGAGAUCUCCCUUACCAGAGAAAUCAGACAAGGAUUCAGUAACGUUGCUCUCAACCACCAUCAAAAAUGGCUAAAGAUACAGAAGGACUUAUUUCUGGCUGGUUCUGAAGUAGGCACUGAUCACUUAGUGUCUUAAAGUCAUUCCAUGGGUAAUUGGUUUCAAUCAAUAAAAAUGAUUUCAAUGCUGCCCUGCAAAAAUAGCUAAAAUAACGAACAAAAUAGUCUAUUUCUUAGAAGAAGCCAGACUUCACUGAAGGCCAGGGAAAGUGUUUUGUGACAAGAAAUAAUCUCUGAUUAAUGAUGGGGAAAUUGGGUUUAAUUAACAAAUGUUACAGCGUCACAUAGUAAAACUACAGGUUAGUGUAGCUGGAUCUAGAGUCUUGCUACUCAAAGCCAACUGAGAGCUAGUUAGAAAUUCAGAACCAGAGGCCCUACUCUCAACUAAUUGAAAGAAAACCUGCAGUUUAGCAGAUACCCAGGAGAUUUUAUGCACAUGAGGGUUUGAGAAGCCGUGGUCUACCGAAUCACAGGAAAUAGCAAAUACCUGCUGACUGAUAUCUCUCUCUCUCGUCUAAGAGAGAGAACACAAAAUAUUCAGAUCUGGACUUUGACUAAGGAGUUGAAGAAUGGUGUUGGGGCCAAACUUGCUUGUGAUGGUUAACAAUGUAUAUGCUGAUUCGACAGUAUCAAGUCCUAAUCCUCUGAAGUUGGUGGAGCCUUUCCUCAGAGGAAAUAUAGAACUGCUCCACGCAUAACCCCAUGGCCUGACCUUCUGUGAACUGGAAAUUGGAACUCCUAAUUGCUGUGGCUGCAGUUUCCAAACCCAUCACUGGGGCCAGGAACUGAGGUCCAGGCCUUAAGAUCUUGCCAGUUUCUUUUUCAAUAGUUACAUUUUUAAGAACAGCCAAGCAAGAGUCCUUUAAAAAAAUAUUUCUAAUUGCGUGGAGGGGAGAAAUGUGUGUUUUACUCAUAUCGUAUUGCUGCCUUUGUCAUCCUCAGCCAGGUUCUAGUAUUAUUUCUUCUAAAUCAAGUUGAUUAGUUCCAUUAGGACUCCCAUUGGGAUGUAAGAGAAAUAGUUUUAAACUAAGAAAAACUGGGUUUCUGUCACUUACUGAGAGGUGAGGGGUAAACUUUAAAUCUGCUUUUCAAAGGGACAGCUGGUUCCCCAGUUGAUAGCCUUCACUAGACCCGUUCUGGAGCUGGGCUGUUUCCCCAGGAUGAGCCCGUUAGUGAAGGUCUGGUUAUUUGAAAGACAUGGCUUCCUCAGAAAGACAUGAUGCCUCAGCUGGGUAGGUAGAAGUGAGAGAAAGCCAGUUUAUAACUUCUCUUCCUUGAAUGACACUAAAAGAAAGGGAGGAUUUGCACCGAAGAGUCAAGGAAUCUUGGAUUUACUCAGAGCUCUUCCAGGAAAUAGCUUGAUAAAUUUGGUGAUUAGUCCCACGGGUCUUCAAACCUGUCUCCACUGGAACAAUGGUAUUAGGAUGAACCAAGACAGUCUGCUUCUGAAAUGGGAUUAUUGGGAUCUCUUUUCACAAUUUUCCUGGAGUGGGGGAGGGGAAUAAGCCAUGGAUAGAAUGUUCAUAUUUUUUCACAAACAUUUUUCUUAAAAUUUAAGUACCUGCCACGUCUUCACUGUAUUCAACUCUAGGAUAAGGUGGUAUUGGACUUAGCUCACACAUAUAUAUUGAAUUUGUUUAGACUUAAACCCACAGCAUUUUAACACAACAGUAUUGUUGACUCUUUGGCACUCUACCCAUUGAAAGAAUGUUGACAAGAUAAUUUCUAAGACCUUUACAGAACUGACAUUUAUUGUUAUUUUGUGGAAAUCUGUAAAAAUCUUUAAGGGAUCUAACUGGAUGUGAAUCAUGUAUAUUGCCUUCUUAGCAUUCUUCUUUCAUUGCUGUUGUUCAGUACUUUAGUAAAAUGUAUGGAUGUAAAAUUAUAGCACUAACUAAUCAAUUCCAUUAUAGCAUCAUUGGCUAGUCAUGUGCUCUGGCCUAAGCAAUACCCAGGGGAGGAUAUAGCCAUGCCUUCAAAGAGGUUUCAUAAUAGCAAAAAAGGACUCAUUAUAUAUCAAGUAAAAAAUAUGUACUGGCAUCCAUUUAUAAUCACAUCCCUCAAUGUGGUUCUGCAAAGACUUGCACUGUAAUAGUUUUUCUAUCAUAUUCAUUGUGCUAUCAAACUGGUAUCACAGUUGAUUCUUUCUGGACUUGGACCUUUAUGCAUUUUCUCAUUCUCAUCUCUCAUUAUUAUGGCACCAUAACUGGGUCCCUGCAGAAUUUCAUUGAACUUAUUAUGAGAUACUUAAUAUCAUGACAACUCCAGAUUAAAUUGCACAGGAAAUCAGCAUUGUAAAAGGAUCUUAAAUAAAGUCCUAGUAAGCAACUUAAAAAAUUAUAUCAAUCAGACAACCCCAAGCUUGCCUCAGACAGGAAUAAUUCUCCCCUAUUUUAUUCCAGUCCACUUGACUCAUUGAGUGCUUUCUAGUUAGCAAAACAUGAAAUGAUGAAAGGAAUGAGUAAGCACUGCCUCUACCUCAUAGAGUUAAUACUCUAGAACAGAUGUCACCAAAUGGUCCCAGACCCUACUCCCACCCCACCUGAACCUAGUCAAUAAACACGUUCUCUUUGAUCUACUUGAUAAGUUUUUCAAAUUUUGAAAUUUUAAAAAUCAAGAGAUUUUAAAUAGAGAUGAAGAUUAACAGCUUCCCCUGAAAAACUGGGUGAUCUAACUUUGCUGUCUGGUGUUCCUGAGUGGCAGCUAUAGGCUAGAGCCUUCUAAGUGGAGUAUGUGCCCCCCCAGCUGAUCACAGUUCCUUAGCGCAGGGAUCCCCAACCUCUGGAAUCUAAUGCCUGAUGAUACAGAGUAGAGCCGAUGUAAUAAUAAUAGAAAUAAAGUGCACAAUAAAGGUGAUACGCUUGAAUCAUCUCGAAACCAUCUCCAUCCCCUGGUCCAUGGAAAAAUGGUCUUCCAGGAAACCAGUCCCAGGUGCCAAAAAGGUUGGGGACCACUGCCUUACAGGCUUGAUUUAUUCAUCUAUGUACCCAUAUGGCCUCAGCAUACAUCGAUCCCUGACACUCAUGUUCUAGAUAUGCAAGAUUUCCUUGGAUACCAAUCAUAUAUCCUUCUUUUUAUUCAAUUCAACACUCAAUUCUUGCUUGUAUACUGUCACCCAGGCACUAAGAUAGCCACUGCCAAUGCAUAUGAAUAAGAUACACGUCUUAUUUUUAACAAACUCUGCAGCUCUCCUCAAACAUAACAAGGGUACAGUUCAGGUAGCGUUGAUAAGACAAGAAAAUCCUCCUGGUAAAGAAAAAAAACCUAAAUCUGAAAAACUGGACAUUCAAUAAUUUAGAGAUCAUCAAAGAGAUAUUUCUUCAAGAGCAAGUGGAGUUUUUGGUCAGUGACCUUGUAAAGCAGGAAAGGCCAGGUUCCCAGCCAGAGCGAUGGACAAGUUGCACAAUCACUCGGAGUGUUUAGGACAGUGGAGACCAUCAAACCCAACUCUUCAGACAAAGUGAGUUGUAGCAUUGUAGUUUGUUUUGCACCAAGAUCCAGAACAGCUGUUACCAAUUCGCUGGAAGAUUACACAUGUGUGCCUCCUUCCAUUCCCAUCACUGUUGAGGUCCCCCUCAUCACUCAGCAAAACUAUUGCAACAGCUUCCUCAGUGACGGCUUUGUGUCCAAUAGUGCUUGACACCAGCCAUCCCACCCAUGAGAUUAAUCUUCCUAAAGCCCAGUCCUAAUCACUUUAUCCCUCUUCUAAACAAUUUCCAGUGACCAUUCGUGGCUAAGUAAAUUGAAUCCAAACUCCCCAGCUUGAUGGUAACGCAUUUUAUACAAGGCCUCUAUCUAACUUCCCAAAUGUAUUUUUGUUUGUAAUGUUUUGUUUCUAAUGUCUAACUAGUGUUUCCCUACAGCAGUGUUCACAAACUGGCAGUCUGUAAGUGAUAUCUAGUCUUCAAAAGUAUUUUGUGUGGCAAAUACAGUGUUUUCAUGAAACUGAAUUAUCUGUCAAUAUUUACUAGAUGACUCUUGCCUCUAGAUUGGCACAUAUUUUCAGCUUUACCAAAAUCCUCACCAUUCUCUAUUACCUUAUUCUGGUCCACUUCACUCCUUUAUAUGACUUGCAUGGCUCUGAUAGGCAUCUGAGUUUACACAUGCCCCCCACAUAUUCCAACAUCCGACCUAGAUGAUUUACUACCACACGUUUAUUUUCCUGAGUUUUCCUUCUGUUCCUCUCUUAAAUGUCACCUCCUCUGUAAAAUUUUCUACCAGAUGUUAACUCCCUUUUCUCUGAGUAGCAAUAAUAUUCCUCUAACAACACAUAAUCUAUCCUAUGUUGUGUGGGGUUUUUUUUUUUUUAUUGAGUAUUCAUGCUUUAUGCCAUCUAGUUAACUAAAAGUGCCUCAAAGGUGAAGGGCAUUGAGUCCCACCUACCCCCCUGUACACAGAUGGUACAGGCUGUGUUUGCAUGGAAUUACUUAAGUUGUCCAUUUUCCUUUGGCCUGUCAAGCCCGUAGUAGUUGUGUGUACCCAUAAGAAGGCAGUAACUCAGUUGACAGGAAGGCAUGGCUGAGUUGGAAGACUCCUGUGGACUUUUAGGCAUUUUCAAGUAGGGAGUGAGAAACGCUGUCUCUAAGGGGAACUACUGAGGGAAUGUAGGUAAACAGAACAUGAUCCUUUUCAUUGGAAGCUGCUGUGAUCUUCAAAUUAAAUCACUAUCACAUGUCUCACAAGGAACUUCAGCAAACCUUUUGUAUGCUCAUUUUGUGUCAGAAUUACAGAGUCCAUCCAUUCCUGGGGGCCUGGCUGAAAGAGUGAAUUGAGCCAGCGCCAGGUAGAACACAAAUGCCCCAGAAAAAAAAAAAAAAAAAACGAAAUAGAAAGAGCUCUGCAUACUACACACCGAAAUGUCUAUUUCUAAAGUUACUGAAUGCCUAGAAAGGUGCUCUCAGUCCUGCUUGCCUUGGCAGAAGGGCUGUCAACAAGUUACAAGAUUAUGAAGUCAAAACUCAGUGACUUCAGAAAUGGAUCCAACCAUUUUGAUCAAAAUGAUCAGUUGUAAACUGUGGAAUAAAAAAUAAGAAAGCCACUCUUCUUAAGUGUAAUUUAAUUCAGCAGUGUCUUAUGGACAACUGUGUACCCAGGAUAGUGCUAGAAAUCAAGAAAACUGAAACAAGGAAGCCAGUAGAGACAACUAAUAUUAAUGGGCUAAUAAUUAAUGGACAACUAAUUUUAACUUAUGAAAUUCUCAAAGUAUGACAUCAAACCAGCCUUAAGGUUGUCUUCAACCUGCUUAAGAAUGUAGCACAUACCCCCCAUGUGUAGGAGUCAUCAUCAAACUAAUCUGACAGCAAAAAAAUAAAUAAUAAAUACAAACAUGGCGUUUUUUUCCCCCUAUUCCUCCAGAACAUGGCCGAUUUCAAAUCAUGUCUACAAAUGAAGACCAAGGAUUUUCAUUUUCCUCUCCCUAUCUACCAUCUUAUGAGGUUUUCCACUGAUAUUUAAAAGUAAGGUGGAAUUUUUCACUUUUAUAUACCUUCUAUCUGCCUGGGUUCUUGACUAGGUAGAGGUAUGAAUGAGUUAUAUUGCCAGAGAGAGGCCAGAAAGAAGGGCAAAUGAAGUGCUUUGACUUUGAGUUGAUGGAAAGCUCAUGAAAGAACCCUUCCUUUUGUGGGGUUGCUGAACCGGUCUUUCCAACUGAUGUCCAGUGACAACCCAAUGACAGUUCCAUUACAAGUUCCAUGCAACUUCUACCUGGAGUCAUGAGUUUCCCCUUCCCACUUGAUCCUCUGUAUCCCCUAGUCCAGAUAGGAUCUGACCCAAAGAACAUGGGCAUCACUGGUUCCUUUUCUUUCAGCACAAGAAAUCCUUGAAGCAGAGAUUUUCUGAAUUAAACAGAAAUCCAACUAUGAAUGCCUGGGUAUACUUGAAUAUUUCUUCUCUUACCAAAGAGAUAUUAGGUAUUAGAAGAAGCUCUGAAUUCGAGGUGAAGAGACCCUGAAGAGACUUGGCUUUGUUGAUUAUAACCUGGGUACCUUUGGGCAGUUCUCUUGCUUGUAAAAUGGGUACAGUCAGCCCUUCCCUGCCUCCCAAAAGGGUUUUUUGUGAGUAUCAGUUUAGAUAAUACCCAUGGAGUCAUCACAAAAUGCUCAGGGAAUCAAGGCCAGCUAUAAGCUUCCAGAGAUAAUUUGAAGGAAGUGUUGUUUGAAUGGCUUUCCUGGUGGCCUGCAGUGUGGAAGACCUAGGUUCGAUCCCUGGGUCAGGAAGAUCCCCUGGAGAAGGAAUGGCAAUCCACUCCAGUAUUCUUGUUUGGAAAAUUCCAUGGACAGAGAAGCCUGGCAGGCUACAGUCCAUAGGGUCACAAAGAGCUGGACACAGCUGAGCGAAAUACCUACCUGAUCUAGACUGGAGUACAUACUGAGGUUGCAAGUGGGUUAGCCAGGAUGGCAUUCAAUUCCUGCAUCCUCCUUGAGAGCUUCCUCUGCAGCCGUUCCUUUUUGGGGCAUGUGUGCUUUCUGUGGACUGGAAUUACAAGGGCAGAAGCAGGAAUAGCUGUAUUAUUGGUCAGUGCUUCUCAUAAUCCACAAUCCCGUGAGUAAGGAUAAGAGGUUAAUUAAAUAUAUCUCUCGGGCAACAGAAAUGAUCAAGGCUGUCCCUGGAACACAGUUGCUUCAGAAAGUAGGCUUUUGUUUCAGAGAAAAUCUCCCACAGAGAAACAUAGAACGCCAAAGAGAACUAUAAAUAGGACUAUCAUUUAUGUCAAUUAUAAAUAGAUUUGCUCCCUUUUGAUUAGAAGAUUAAUGCUAGCUGAAAGUCAGGAGUUGAACAGAAAUGAGGGAAAAACUCCUGACAAAAUAUUAUGACACGCUAACAGUUAGAUUUGAUACCUUUUCCUCCCUGUGGUAUUUUCUCUGAUUUUCCCUAAAUGAAGACUCUCUUCUCAUUUGAGUUUAGAAUUUAGUUGUUAGUCUUUGAAGUACAUUUGUUCAUACUUUAGCAGCUCCUCAGGAUCUCUCCUUACCAUUCCGAUUAGAACACACCCACACAUACACACACACACACACACACGCACGCACAUACACACACACACACACCUUUUUUAAAAAAUGGAAAAAUUGACUAUCAAAGUUAGGAAUUCAAAAAGGGCAAAACUCGUCCCCCAGACACCUCUCAAGAAGGUCACCACGCUCUAUAACCAAAGUUCUCCUUUUCACAAAGGAGACUCUUUCCCGAGUUACUGUGUACAUGUGGUUCCUCAGCUAUUAACAUAUUAGCAGUGAGCAUAAUGACUAAAGGGAUAAAGUAAAAGAUCAGUCUAUGAAGGGUCCCAAACCACAGGUUGCAGUUACUGAGCACAUGGUCAGAUAUGCGGUCAUUUUCUCUCAUUCUGGAGGGAAGAACAUGCAGAGGGAUCCCAGCUCUGCAGGCCUACUUAGCCAGCUCCUUGUCCUCUGCUUAUGUCUAUGACUCAUCUCUUUCCAGGGCCAGGGAGAGAAAUGGCAGCUUCCCAUCCAAGCUGUCUGCCAGGUUCAUCCUGGGACGAGGGUUUGUGGAUGGAGCAGCAGGGUACCUCCAUCCUGUACCAGGCGCAAUGGAAUGCAAUAGACUGCAUGUCUCCCGCCUGCUAGGGUGAGGCAAUGGAAAAAGUCUUACCUGAGUCCACCCACCUUGCCUCAUGCAAGGUCUUGAUGCCAGCUACUCCAGACUCAGCAUUAAGAAAGAGGCUGUAGGGAACUCUACUUAGUGCUGUGUGGUGACUUAAAUGGGAAGGAAAUCCAAGAAAGAGGGGAUUUAUGAAUAAGCCUGGAUGAUUCACUUUGCUGUACAGUGAAAACUAGCACAACAUUGUAAAGCAGUUAUACCUGAUAAAAAGAAAGAAAGAGGCUAUAGGUAGAGAUAACUGGGAGGAAAGGGCAGAUGUAAUAAGCAGGGACCAGUCUGGGAGAUUCCUCCUCUACUUCAAAUGCCCAAUUCUGGUUUCACUGUGGCAUAUUUUAAAGAGAACUUAGCUUGUCAACUGGAAAUUCUUUGCCUGACCCAAGAUUCAGGGGGAGAUUUCUGGAAAAACACUAAUCAGGGAUUUUGAAAGCCUGGCUUCCAACACAUAAAGACAUCUAUUGAAUAUUUUUAAAGAUAUAAAAUUCUUAGAACCGUUGGACAGGUUUCUGUGUGUGACCACUCUCUUCCAAGUGGCAUUGCUCAACAGCCCAGAUCCCAUCAGAAGGCUGACAUCAUGCAGUUGUGCAACUCCCAGGCAUCACAAUGUCACUUUGCUCACGGCACUUGCUGUGCAUCCACCACUGAGAAGCCAAGCAGCAUUAGAUUAUAAGUCAGAAGUUCUGAGUGGGAUCAUUCCUGUGAAACCUGAGUCCCCGGUUCUUCUAAAAAGUCAAAAUACAUUUGGAUCUUGCAACUCAAGAGUGUCAGAGCCAAUCAUUUCUUUCAUCAAAACCCAGGAAUCGCACGGUGGGUGGCUGGGGCCAUGUUCUCCCUUCCUCUAGUUCCCUUCCCCCACCCCUUCAGGCAGGAUUCUCCAGGCUGGAGAGAAAGGAAUAGAAAAGAAGCUCUCAGUCCUGAACCUCUCUGCUGAGCACUGCAUUGUGCUGGAUUCUCUGACACAGUGGGAUGUGGAAACAUGAGACUGAACAUCAAUUUUUUCCCAGACUGCUAGGUAAACAGAAAAUAGGAAAGACUUCUUCCCACGUAUCCUGGCAUUCCCCAUCGAAUAUUUGGGGUUCUGUCCAACAGCCCGACUCAAUGGCUAAUGUUGACCUCUGACUCGGUUGACCCCUUGAUGGGAAAUGUUUUAACCAGUUGGGUGAUUUCUCAGCUUCAACUAUGGAACAAAUUUCAAAAUUGAGAAGGCAAGACUCUUUCCCAUUCUAAAAUAGGCUGGCCUAGAAUGUUCUCAGGAGCUUCAUGAAGAGCUCUAAGUCCUGGCUUAUUUACAAAGGUGGCAGUGGCCUUCAGAUUGGGUUAAUGAAACACUGGCACGUGCACGUGGCCAGCUUUAACUUGCUCCUGUGUGGCUGUCCCCUUUCAGGGAAAUCUAGGACUAGCAGAAGAACAAACUGGCCCUUCCCCAAGUACAUGCACUCCCCUCUAGGGAGACAGGAGGGAAAACCUUGACAUUUCCCAGACCUCAGGAGUCACUCUAGAGGGUCAGUAAUAGCCUCGGUUAAUGACAAGUUUCAGAAAGGGAGCUUCCAAAAAUUGGCCACAGUGCCUGUAAAGUGUAAUGAGUUUACUCCCUUUUGUCUGGAAGUCAUAUCUGGUAUUUCACGUAGACCUUGAAUAGAUAGGGUUUUGAUAGAUGGGGAAACACUGGGUAGAGAAACCACGUCAGUGGAAAAGCAUAUAAACAGAAUGUAGAGCAUUCUUGCAGGAGCAGACACUAUCCAGUUGGGGGUCAUGUGCUAGGGGACAGUCACUCAGGAUAAGCCCCAAAAGAUAGCUUAGAGCAGCAUUUGUAUUAAAGAAUAAUAAUAGCACUUUCUGAGCUCUUACUGUGUGCACCAUUUUAUUCUAAGCACUGAUAUGUAUUAACUCUUUUCAUCCUCACAUAAACCUGUGAAGUGAAUUCUCUCAUUCUCCUCACUUUACAAGUGAGGCCACUGAGGCACCCAGAAGUAUAUAAUGUAUUUAAGGGCACAUAGCUUUUUUUUUUUAAGAUUUUUUUUAUGUGGACCAUUUUUAAAGUUUUUAUUGAAUUUUUUACAAUAUUGCUUCUGUUUUAUUUUUUGUUUUUUUGGAGGGAUUUUUUUGGCUGCAAGGUAUGUGAGAUCCUAAUCCCUUACCAGGGGUUGAACCCCCAGCCCCUGAAUUAGAAGGUGAAGUCUUAACCACUGGGCCACCAGGGAAGUUCCCACAUAGCUUUUGAGUAAGACAAAACUGAAGUUUUUUCAGGCAGCUAAUUCCAGCACCCAUGGUCCAUGGCUGCCUUUUCAGCUGCCUACCUACAGUAUGCCUUUAUUCUUUGCUUUUUUCCCCCUUACUCCUUCUUCGCUAGCUAUGGAGAUACUGGCUAACCUCUAAGGCCAAGUUCAUAUAUUCCUUCCUUAGUGAGACCUCUUCUAACUUUGUCAGCAAGAAUUUAUCUUUCCCUAUUCCUGGCUUCUCUCUUUUACCUACAAUGAUUUUUUCCAAUCUUUUCUACAUUAGAAUUCAGGAUGUUCUCAUUUGUGAACUUCUUCAGGCCAGAUUUGACAUCUUAUUCCCCUUAGAAUCCUCAGAACCUGAGACAGUGCUUUGCAUGUAUCGAGUGCUCAAUUCACAUUGCCUGAAUUGAACUGAGUAUCAGAGUCCACUGGCUGAGGCCCCAAAUGUCCCCUAAUCCCACCACACCUCCUUAAGAUCAUCUUUCCAAAUUCAAAACAAUUUUUAAAAGAAUCCUAAGAAAUCUUAGGCCUCACAGGGAACUCUCUCACUCCUGAAAACCUACAACUCAUUAAAAAACCAUUUGGAAAAGCAUGAUGUGGACUAUCUCAGGCCACAGACCAAGAACACAAUUCCAGGUUCAGUCCUGCUUGGCUGCAAAAGAAGGCUAAUGGUAACAGAGCUUCUAAAGACAAAAAUGCAGCCACCCAUGGAUGAAGUCUCUCACCAAGGGCUGUGGGGUUCCAGGGUUUCUGAGAAGGCUCCCUCUAUCCUAAUAAAGUUCUCAGCUUCUCAACCCCCCAAUCCCAGCUCCCUACAGGACACUCAAAAUCAUCCAAUUUAAUUAAAACCUCUUUUUUUUCACAUUGAAGUCACAAGUUUUCACAGGGUGCAACGUGUUGCUAACCUAGCAAUUUCCAAACUAGACUGUUCAGCAAGGCAGGUGCUGUUUUCUUUUUUAGGGCCCAUGUCCUUAAAUUGCUCUGCUGCUUAGAUAUACCUGAGGGCCAAACUGCUCUGGCAGAUUCUAGCCUAUGCUCUUCCUCCUUCACCCAACUCUUUUCUGGCCUGCAAGAUGUUGUUCUCCCACAGCCAAUAGGAAGAAAAGGUCUUAUCGUCUUUUAAAAUUAUACUUUUAAUGUGUGUCCUUAAUUACCUUGAAACUCAGAUAGUCAGUGACAACAGAUACUGAAAGACAGGGAAGCCUGGCAUGCUGCAGUCCAUGGGGUCACAAAGAGUCGGACACAACUGAGUGACUGAACAACAACAAGCACAGCACUCUGCCUUCUGGAAGGAUGUCAAACAAACAAGCACGUAGAAUGAUCUACAAUUUUGUAAUUGGCAAGAGCAUUAUGCAUAUUGAGCAUUAUAUUUCUGCAGAGUUGAGUGCUAAAAUAAAAUGUGCUCAGUGCAGAGAGAGUUCCUGAGCAACUAUUACACACAAGACUCUGGAACAGGUUCUAGGAAUAUAGUGUGGAACCAGACUGACAGGGCUUCUGCCUUAGGUGCUUAGAGUUUUGCCAGAAAGAUACAGGAUGCUAGUGCUAAGGGAGAAUGAGGCUUGGUGAGAUUCUUGUGCCUUGGAUUUGUCUGGAGGAGACUCUACAAUACCAAGUUUUCUUUCCUUACCGACUGUAGGACUGUCUUUCUACUCAAGCUCCCAUCUUCUCCUUUCCCCCUUUUCUUAUUUUCUUAUUUCUCUUGACAGCAUGCAUUGCCACUGAUAUAGUCCCUGGUUUUAGAUUUCUUCUGUUAAGAAAGUCUCACUGUUAGGUUCAGUUUGAGCUCUUAAUCUUCCCUCUUAACCCAGCCAACCAAGAGAGGCAACUUGAAUUGUGUGACAUGUUGGUUUCCAUCUGGAGUCAGACUCAUUGGUGCUCUCUGUUUUCCUACACGUAUUGAGAAAUUCUGGGUACACUGCAGUCUCUUGUCCUGGGAAGGUAUUAAGGAAAGGACAUCAUAAAAUCUCCGUGGGACUAUAACUUGGUAUCUUGCUCUCAAACUUCUAGAAGCACUAACUUCCUAGAAAUUUAUUACCAACUCUACAAACAAACAAAAUAGAAAAAAAAAUUUUUUUAAAAAAAGGCAGUAUUCCAGUUAUUUGCUUGAGAAAUAUACAAUUGAUCAUGUAGAAGGGAAAGCAAUGGUCUCUCUGACUCUUGAAGCUCAAGUCUGUAAGGAGCUGUUUUUGAUCAAACUUCGUUAAUGAACCCAAUCCCCUAUCUAGGAGCCAACUGGUCUCCCUGAAAGAAUUCUCAGAAUAUAGAAGCUAGACUACGUGUGGGGAACCACUGAUCAAAUUCCAGAUAUGAAACUGACUUGAUAUGGCAUUAGGAUGUAUAUUUUGACAUUAGCUUAUUUUCUUGCCAGUAACAUUUCUCAUUUUCAAAAAUCUUUUUCUUUGCUCUCCUCUAGCACUAGUAGACUAACUUUGUACAACAAGAUGAUAGGAAGCUUCUUUUAAGGCUAACCCUCUGCAAUUUUGUAUCCCUAGAUCCCAAAGCCUGCAAUAAAUAGGAGAUUAGGAGAAAUAACCCAAGACCCUUCUUCUGAAAAUCUACCCAAUUUAUUAUUACAGCCUUACUCAAAUUGGAAAUAAUGAAUCAAAACUAGAUCCACAAAUAGAAUAAAAUAAUAUUGACAAGCAGCAUGUAGAUUCUGAGAAAAUGAAAUUUAAAAUAUCAAUAGAAUUUAAGGGCACCAAAAUGAGUUUAAGAGAAAGAAAAUGUGUCCUUUAUCUGUAUUUGCCAACAUAUGGUAAUAAUUAUAGUCUCCAAAUUAGACGGUACAUUCCCUUGACCUUCAAAUGAGGGGUGAAAAUAGAUUGAGGAGUCAAAAAAAAAAAAAAAAAGACAG